GUGCCAGCAGCCGCGGUAAUACGGAAGGUCCGAGCGUUAUCCGGAUUUAUUGGGUUUAAAGGGUGCGCAGGCGGGUUGUCAAGUCAGCCGUUAAAUAGUGGAGCUCAACUCCAUCCAGCGGUUGAAACUGGCGACCUUGAGUGCGGCAGAGGGAAGCGGAAUUCGUGGUGUAGCGGUGAAAUGCAUAGAUAUCACGAAGAACUCCGAUUGCGAAGGCAGCUUCCUGGACCGUAACUGACGCUGAGGCACGAAGGUGUGGGAAUCAAACAGGAUUAGAUACCCUGGUAGUCCACACAGUAAACGAUGGAUGCUCGCGGUGCGCAGUUUACUGUACGCCGCCAAGGGAAACCGUUAAGCAUCCCACCUGGGGAGUACGCCGGCAACGGUGAAACUCAAAGGAAUUGACGGGGGCCCGCACAAGCGGAGGAACAUGUGGUUUAAUUCGAUGAUACGCGAGGAACCUUACCCGGGCUUGAAAUGUACCUGACAGGCGGAAGAGACGCCGCCCUCCUUCGGGCAGGUAUGUAGGUGCUGCAUGGUUGUCGUCAGCUCGUGCCGUGAGGUGUCGGCUUAAGUGCCAUAACGAGCGCAACCCUUCCCGCCGGUUACCAUCAUUCAGUUGGGGACUCCGGCGGCACUGCCAUCGCAAGAUGUGAGGAAGGCGGGGAUGACGUCAAAUCAGCACGGCCCUUACGUCCGGGGCCACACACGUGUUACAAUGGGGGGCACAGAAAGCAGGAGUACGGCGACGUGCUUCGAAUCAUGAAAUCCCCUCCCAGUUCGGACUGGAGUCUGCAACCCGACUCCACGAAGCUGGAUUCGCUAGUAAUCGCGCAUCAGCCAUGGCGCGGUGAAUACGUUCCCGGGCCUUGUACACACCGCCCGU
rnacentral:rRNA from 1 species